GGCUAUCCUGACUUGCAGUGAUCGAUAUCUUCUUUUUGUUAUAUUUAUUUAAAAUACGACCAAAAGCCUUCUCCCGAAGAAACAAUUCCAACAAGUGAAUUUUUCACCACAAGUGGACCACCCGAAUCACCUUGACAAGCAUCGUGACAACCUGAUUUGUAACCAGCACAAAUAUGACCACGUUCAAUGUAUCGUAAAUAAAUUCGACAUUCAAAAAAUGA